rnacentral:RNase_P_RNA from 2 species
GGAGAAGAGCAGGUGAUCGCUGGUCCGCCCUUGGCGGACCGGAGGAAAGUCCGAGCUCCAUAGGGCAGGAUGGUCGCUAACGGCGACUGGGGGCGACUCUAAGGAAAGUGCCACAGAAAACAUACCGCCCAGGCGAAAGCCUGAGUAAGGGUGAAAAGGCGAGGUAAGAGCUCACCGCUUUCCUGGUGACAGGAAAGGCAUGGUAAACCCCAUCCGGAGCAAGACCAAAUAGGAGAACGUUUGAGAGCGGCCCGCUCAAUGUUCUCGGGUAGUGUCGCUAGAGGCGUGAGGCAACUUACGUCCCAGAUGAAUGAUCAUUGCCGCGCGGCGGGUAACCUAAACGCGGGACAGAACUCGGCUUACGAUCUUCUCUUGAG